rnacentral:rRNA from 1 species
UGCAGUCGAGCGGUAGCACAGAGAGCUUGCUCUCGGGUGACGAGCGGCGGACGGGUGAGUAAUGUCUGGGAAACUGCCUGAUGGAGGGGGAUAACUACUGGAAACGGUAGCUAAUACCGCAUAACGUCGCAAGACCAAAGAGGGGGACCUUCGGGCCUCUUGCCAUCAGAUGUGCCCAGAUGGGAUUAGCUAGUAGGUGGGGUAACGGCUCACCUAGGCGACGAUCCCUAGCUGGUCUGAGAGGAUGACCAGCCACACUGGAACUGAGACACGGUCCAGACUCCUACGGGAGGCAGCAGUGGGGAAUAUUGCACAAUGGGCGCAAGCCUGAUGCAGCCAUGCCGCGUGUAUGAAGAAGGCCUUCGGGUUGUAAAGUACUUUCAGCGAGGAGGAAGGCAUUGUGGUUAAUAACCACAGUGAUUGACGUUACUCGCAGAAGAAGCACCGGCUAACUCCGUGCCAGCAGCCGCGGUAAUACGGAGGGUGCAAGCGUUAAUCGGAAUUACUGGGCGUAAAGCGCACGCAGGCGGUCUGUCAAGUCGGAUGUGAAAUCCCCGGGCUCAACCUGGGAACUGCAUUCGAAACUGGCAGGCUAGAGUCUUGUAGAGGGGGGUAGAAUUC